CGCUUAACCGACUGCGCCACCCAGGCGCCCCGAAGCUUGGUGAGUUUUGACAGGCGCACACACCCAAGGAGUCCGUAUCCUCUUGAGACAGAGAGCAUUUCUAUCACCCCAGAAAGAUCCCUCCUGCCCCUUCCCAGUGGCAGCCACUGUUUGAUCUCUUUCCUCGUAGGUUAGUUGGGUCUCGUCCAGAACUUCCUAGAAACGGAAGCACUCGGUGUGUACGUUUUGUGUCUGGCUUCUUUUCCUCGGCAUGAUAUAUUGGAGACGUACCUAAAAUGUGUUUAUCAGUAGUUCCAUUUUAUUACUGUAUUCUGUUGUGUGACGACAACGUGUUCAUCUGUUUGCCUUUUGAGGGCUGCUUGGGCUAUAAGAUCCGUACACAGGUCGCGGUGCGGACAUACGAUUUUAUUUACUGUGAGUAAAUCCCGAGGAGUGGAAUUUCGAGGCCACAAAAGAGGAACCUGUAAUUGGGGGAGCUUGCAAAGUGGUCUUCUCUGUCUGCUGGCACAGUCUGAAGUCACCGAGGCGGGCAGUCAGGAUGGGGACAGGGACGUGAAGGGGUGCGUGUGGAGCCAGAACGAACUGUCACGCGAGAGAAUGGGUGGAACCCAUGAGGAUACAGCCCGCGCCAUUCUGUCACUGCGUCCACGCCUCUAUCGUUGGUGAUGAGCGCGUCCGGCAAGAGACGCAUGAGCCCUCCAGUCACGCAUCUAAACGUGCCCCGGGAACAGAAUUAGGAGCAGCUGAAGGAGGAGAUACAGCGGUGCUGAACGCAGGGCCAGCCGCCAGCCCCACACCAGCAGGACAGCGAGCAGAGAGAGGGGGAGACCCAGAAUCCGAAGCAGGCUUCAGGCUCCGAGCUGUCAGCACAG